rnacentral:rRNA from 1 species
CCAAGAAGUCUAACGUGUGGGCGAGUCUUCGGGGACCUUGUGAACCCUAUGAAGGCGCAAUAAAAGUGAAGGUCCCGCGCGCGCGCCCCGUCCUCGUGUCGGGUGUUGCGUGCGCGGGGCUGCAGUGGGAUCCCCAGUCUAAGGGCUGGGGCGCACCACUGGCCCGUCCUAUGACCGCUUCGCCGGUCGGGCGGAGCAAGAGCCCACGCGUUGGGACCCGAAAGAUGGUGAACUAUGCCUGGGCAGGACGAGGCCAGAGGAAACUCUGGUGGAAGUCCGCAGCGGUUCUGACGUGCAAAUCGAUCGUCGGACCUGGGUAUAGGGGCGAAAGACUAAUCGAACCAUC